rnacentral:rRNA from 1 species
UACGAACGCUGGCGGCGUGCUUAACACAUGCAAGUCGAACGGAAAGGCCCUGCUUUUGUGGGGUGCUCGAGUGGCGAACGGGUGAGUAACACGUGAGUAACCUGCCCUUGACUUUGGGAUAACUUCAGGAAACUGGGGCUAAUACCGGAUAGGAGCUCCUGCUGCAUCGUGGGGGUUGGAAAGUUUCGGCGGUUGGGGAUGGACUCGCGGCUUAUCAGCUUGUUGGUGGGGUAGUGGCUUACCAAGGCUUUGACGGGUAGCCGGCCUGAGAGGGUGACCGGCCACAUUGGGACUGAGAUACGGCCCAGACUCCUACAGGAGGCAGCAGUGGGGAAUAUUGCACAAUGGGCGGAAGCCUGAUGCAGCAACGCCGCGUGCGGGAUGACGGCAUUCGGGUUGUAAACCGCUUUCGCCUGUGACGAAGCGUGAGUGACGGUAAUGGGUAAAGAAGCACCGGCUAACUACGUG